rnacentral:rRNA from 1 species
UGGGGAAUAUUGCACAAUGGGCGCAAGCCUGAUGCAGCCAUGCCGCGUGUAUGAAGAAGGCCUUCGGGUUGUAAAGUACUUUCAGCGGGGAGGAAGGGAGUAAAGUUAAUACCUUUGCUCAUUGACGUUACCCGCAGAAGAAGCACCGGCUAACUCCGUGCCAGCAGCCGCGGUAAUACGGAGGGUGCAAGCGUUAAUCGGAAUUACUGGGCGUAAAGCGCACGCAGGCGGUUUGUUAAGUCAGAUGUGAAAUCCCCGAGCUCAACCUGGGAACUGCAUCUGAUACUGGCAAGCUUGAGUCUCGUAGAGGGGGGUAGAAUUCCAGGUGUAGCGGUGAAAUGCGUAGAGAUGUGGAGGAAUACCGGUGGCGAAGGCGGCCCCCUGGACAAAGACUGACGCUCAGGUGCGAAAGCGUGGGGAGCAAACAGG